rnacentral:lncRNA from 1 species
AACGCCGCGGGGUGGGGGGCCACGUGCUUCCGGCGUGACCUACCGACCGGAAGUGGCCUGAGUCGGGUGGGAUAGGGUGGCGCCGCUAGGCCGGGAGGGCGGAGGCCCUGAGCCCCAGCCUCCCACCUCGGGGCCACAUUGGGAACCUUAUCAACAGCAUCGACACCUCCUCUGAUGGCCCCAGCCACAAUCUCUUCCACUUCCAGCUACUUGAGUCACUUCUGUGGCAGCCCCCACCCACAGCAGCUUCUGGCAGUGUCAGAGGAUGGUCAAACACAUCACGGGGUGGAGUGCCUUCUUCUCCUAUUACAGAUAUGGCUGCUACUGUGGGCUUGGGAGCAAAGGGAUCCCUGUGGAUGACACUGACAGCCACCUCUGGGUGCCAUGAAAGCAAGGACUACCUCUGCUUUUUCAGACAGCUGUCUCCUCCGAGACCAUCACAGUGCCCGGCUCAUGGUAGGUGCUCAGUCAAAAGUGUGAAAUGAAUGAAUGGACCUAGAUUUGUGUCCUGGGUCUAUCAUUUUCCAGCUGCCUAAGUUUGGGAAAUUGGCCUCUCGGAAUCUCAUUCCCUUCCCUACAAAAGGGCAACAAUUAUUUUACUUCAUAUGUUUCUACGAGUAGCUAAUGAGAUAGCAACAGAUACUAGAAAGGGCUCAGGAAAUGCUACUGGUUGUUUUAUUAUUUUAUUUUAUUUUUUUUUAGAAGAUGGGGUCUCGCUCUGUUGUCCAGGCUGGGGUGCAGUGACUCCAUCACAGCUCACUGCAGCCUCCAUCACCUGGGCUCAACCAGUCCACCACCC